GCACCUUGGUUGGCUUCGGGGGCAGAGACAGAGUACCACCUCAUGGCAACAGAAAUUUCUUUUCCUGCAGUUCUGGAGGCUGGAGUGCUUCCCUGAUGUCUCACACAGAAAACCAUCUGCCUGCAACUGGACCCCUGGCUCCUGGCUGUGGAUCCUGACCCCCCCACUUGGACAAACAUCUUGCGGCCGUUUCCUCCUCGCCUGCCUGGAGCCCCGGCCCGGCCUGAACAAACACUCGGGACCUGUGCUUCCGGCCUCAGCUCUGGGAAAAGCCCGGCCAGGGGCCGCUGAGGUGAACUGAUGGGCUGCGGCCCCGCCCACCCUGGGCAGCUGUCCAUGAGAAGGCCUCUUCAGAGCCAUCGGUCAGCGUGGUGCUGUCCCACCUCUGUGAGUUUCAGACAGGGCAGAGUCUGCCCCCAGUGACCAGGGAGGCCCCUCUAACUUAAUGCCUCCACAGUGAACUCUGAAUCUCCCACCAGCCUGUUGCUCUCAGCCUCUGGAAGAGGAAGCCCCAGGCUGGUGAAGCACCCGACCUAGGAAGUCCCUGCCUGGACCCUGCCUCUGCUCACCCCAGACCACAUCGUCGUCCCCCAGUCCUCAGGAGUCCCUCUUCCUAAGAACCCAUCUCUGGCUUCCUGUGCUCGCUGUGCAGUCAGGGGGCUCUCCCUGGCCUUGCCCAGCCCUCCAGCGCCUGGAGAACCC
ensembl:lncRNA